rnacentral:rRNA from 1 species
UACGUAGGGUGCAAGCGUUGUCCGGAAUUAUUGGGCGUAAAGAGCUCGUAGGCGGUCUGUCGCGUCGGCUGUGAAAUCCCGGAGCUCAACUCCGGGCCUGCAGUCGAUACGGGCAGACUGAAGUUCGGCAGGGGAGACUGGAAUUCCUGGUGUAGCGGUGAAAUGCGCAGAUAUCAGGAGGAACACCGGUGGCGAAGGCGGGUCUCUGGGCCGAUACUGACGCUGAGGUACGAAAGCGUGGGGAGCAAACGGG